CCUAGAAAGACUCUCCCAUCAGUAAUACUAUUUCUUAGAAAUUUGAGGAGGGGAAAAUAAAAGUUCAAGUAUAAAGUAAGUUUAUGCAUUAAAAAAUUAUAACUUCCUUUCCACCUCAGAAUUAUAAAUAUUUAAAGAAAAAAUGGCAAAUAUGAUAAGAUGAAAAAACAUAUAUAUGAAAACUACAUAUGUACAGAGGAAGUGAUUUGAUCAACACAUGUAGAUUAAUUUUUUAGGCUUCUAGGGUUGCAAUUGUUUUGUUAGUUAAAAACAUAUAGUUCCCAAACCCAUCAAGAGGCAGUAAAUUUAAAAAAUUUUAUGUGCAGAAAUAUAAAAGCACAGACCUAUUGAUGAAUUACUACUAUGCCUGAAUUGCAUUAGUUAUUCAAAACCUUUCAGGUAGUAUUUUCAAACCAAUGUUUUAGCACUAAAAAUCUUAUUGGGCUCUUAAAGCAUUUUCAUAAAGAUGGCCAUGUAUAUAUAGUUAGGUUCAAUUUCAAAAAUCCAAUAUUUAAGUAAUUUAUAUUACUUAUAUAUUAUUUUAGCCAGAAUCAGCUGAUAAAUUGUAUUUCUUUCCAAAUAAUAUUUUAAGCUAAAUGUGAAAUGUACCAACUCUCCUAACCAGGCACUUAAAAACAUGACAUCACAAAAGUCAUUUCUACAUUGUUUUUUAAAGAUUUUUAAAAAAUAUUAAUCAACCAAACCAACCAACCAAAACCAAAAACAAACAAACAAAAGAACACUUCUCCUUCUAAAACUGUAAGAAUUCAGCACAAAAUUUCAGGUAAAUAAAUCUAAAAAGAAUAUCAACAUCACAGAGUAUUUAGUUGAGCCUAACAGGAGCAGUAAUAUUUUAAAUUGCCCUCUGCUAUGUGCUCUAAUCAAAACUGUGAAGGUAAACUUCGGCAAGGUAAAGUUAAAAGAAAGGAAGAGCACACCGUCUG